rnacentral:rRNA from 1 species
AUUGAACGCUGGCGGCAGGCCUAACACAUGCAAGUCGAACGAGUGGCGGACGGGUGAGUAAUGUCUGGGAAACUGCCCGACGGAGGGGGGAAACUACUGGAAACGGUAGCUAAUACCGCAUACCAUCGGAUGUGCCCAGAUGGGAUUAGCUAGUAGGUGGGGUAACGGCUAACCAAGGCGACGAACCCUAGCAGGUCUGAGAGGAUGACCAGCCACACUGGAACUGAGACACGGUCCAGACUCCUACGUGAGGCAGCAGUGGGGAAUAUUGCGCAAUGGGCGCAAGCCUGAUGCAGCCAUGCCGCGUGUAUGAAGAAGGCCUUCGGGUUGUAAAGUACUUUCAGCGAGGAGGCGUUACUCACAGAAGAAGCACCGGCUAACUCCGUGCCAGCAGCCGCGGUAAUUC